GGAGUCUGUCUCUCCACGUUGAGCUGAUGGGAGCUGGAGGAGGGGUGACAAAACUACCCAUGUGGCCAUCACAUUGGGACUGUGCUACAUCAGACCUGAAGCCAGCACAGCACUGGGUCUUACCCAAGGCCUGCGGCAGUCACUGCCUGAUUCCUGCCGAUGUUCACUCAAGGCCCAUGGUUCUUCAUCAGCAGGUACCAGCUGAAUUCUGCCCUGUGUUGCUUUCUGCUGUGACAAGCAAGACUGAGUUCCAGUGCAGAGUCCCAUAGUCACUGCACUCUCCCUCCCCAAACACACAGAUUCCGUCUUCAUACCAUGCAGCUGAUGCUGGGGAAUGGGAGAGAAGUGAUGUUGACAAUGCAAUACUAUCUUUCUUACCCUCUUCAGUGCCUUUUUCCUUGAUAUGAUGUUAAAACCAGGUUCUCUACUGUGCCCAUGUAACAAAAGACAGAUUAACAAGACAAAAACAUACACAUUUAUUGAAUGUAAGUUUGAAACCUUCAGAAGGAAAUGAAGACCCGAAGAAACAGUUAAACCUGAGUGUUUUUAUACUAACUUCUAUGAAGAGUGGAGAGUUGUAGAAAAUGUGAUAGGACAAUAGGCUGUGAGUCAAGAGUAGUAAACUGGGGAAACUUGGCAAAACCUGUUCAUUUUGGUUCCUCUGGGUAUCCUUUCACCUUUGGAGAUAAAGAUGCUUCUUUUCUCUGGGUAUAGGGAGGGCACCUGUCACAUGAGGAUUUUAUGAUCUGCUUCAGGGGAUGGUCAGUUCUUCCUGCAUCUGCCCUUCCUCAAAUUCCUUUAGCUUAAAAUAUUCAAUAUGCCAAGGUGCCAGAUUUUGGAGUUGCAUGUUCAGAACUCCAUCACAUUCAAGUGUGGAAACUCAGGUUAGCUUGCUUAGUAUUAAUGCAUUAUUCCUCCUUUGGAAAUGUAUGUAUUAUUUAGGAAAAUGGCUUAUGUAUAUUAUUGUAAUUUAAUUUUUUCUGAAAUGUCUAUCCCUUACGUUUUUAGAGAAGCUUAUAUACAUUAAUUUUCAGAGACCUAAAAAUAUUGAAUAAAUACUGUUUGUUGCUUUUAAACAAUCCAUGGGGAGUAGAAAAAUUUUGAUUUUAGUAUUGAUGGUUUACCGUUUCUUGUAGAGAUUCACAGUUCCUCUAUACUUGAUCCAAAGUGUUACCAGUGUCUUUAAGGCAAAUGGCAACACUUGAGCCUGGGAAAGUCAUUUUAUUUCAAUAACUUUUUUUCCCCAAAGCUACAUUGGCUGUUUGAGGAGAAAGUUAUAGAGAAUCAGUUUUUG